AGACACAAAAGUGCCGCCAGCUCAUCA
rnacentral:sRNA from 1 species